rnacentral:misc_RNA from 1 species
GUUUUUGUUAAACCCUAAUUAGUAGUUAUGGUAGUUUAAAGUACACCACUAACUGUUAUUAGUUAGAAUUUUCCAGUAAUUAUUUAUGUUUGGCAUUCAAAUGAUUCAAUUUUCGUUUGAAAGUAUCUGUGCUUUGGGUAAUACAAGCUUGUUAAUCUGUGGAUAGUUUCAUCUGUGUAGAUGCACCCAUUAGAAGUGUUUUUACUUUGUAGGUUGGAAACUAGAAUAAGUAUGGCUAGAGGCAAAGAGGCAAUUUGAGUAUUGAAUCUAGAUUUGAUCCUGUAGAUUAAGUUUCUUGAUAUCGGUUAUUUGGGCCACAUAAUUGAAACUGAAUAUAACAUUCCUAGAAGUUGGUAUGGAUGAUUUUCAAAUGGGUAAAUUACUAUAGAGUCCCUUUAUUUUGCUAUUAUUAACACUUUCGUCCCUCUACUUUGGAAAAUAGAUUAAAAAGUCCUUCAGUUUUGUUUUCAUCAAACACUUUUAUCUGUUUGUCCAUUUUUCUCAACUUUUACAGAUAAUCAAGUUUGAAAAUAGCAUAAUACCUUCAUUACAUCUGCUCCUCCGUUCCUCACUCCUCCAUGUCUACCUCUUGAACCCCAAACCUAGCCCCCUGUUUCUAUCAUCUUCCUUUACAACUCUUUUAGUGUCAAUUCAACAAAAUC